rnacentral:misc_RNA from 1 species
GAUGAAGAACGCAGCGAAAUGCGAUAAGUAAUGUGAAUUGCAGAAUUCAGUGAAUCAUCGAAUCUUUGAACGCACCUUGCGCCCUUUGGCUAUUCCGAAGGGCAUGCCUGUUUGAGUAUCAUGAACACCUCAACUCUCAUGGCUUGCCAUGAUGAGCUUGGACUUUUGGGGGUCUUGCUGGCCUGUGGUCAGCUCCUCUCAAAUGAAUUAGCCUGCCAGUGUUUGGUGGCAUCACAGGUGUGAUAACUAUCUACGCUUGUGGUUUUCCACCAGGUAACCUUCAGUGAUGAAGGUUCGCUGGGGCUCAUAAACGUCUCUCCUCAGUGAGGACAGCUCUUUGAACGUUUGAUCUCAAAUCAGGUAGGACUACCCGCUGAACUUAAGCAUACAAUAAGCGGAGGA